CUUUUGACCUCGGAUCAGGUAGGGAUACCCGCUGAACUUAAGCAUAUCAAUAAGCGGAGGAAAAGAAACCAACAGGGAUUGCCCUAGUAACGGCGAGUGAAGCGGCAACAGCUCAAAUUUGAAAUCUGGCUCUUUCAGAGUCCGAGUUGUAAUUUGCAGAGGGCGCUUUGGCGUUGGCAGCGGUCCAAGUUCUUUGGAACAGGACGUCACAGAGGGUGAGAAUCCCGUACGUGGUCGCUAGCCUUCGCCGUGUAAAGCCCCUUCGACGAGUCGAGUUGUUUGGGAAUGCAGCUCUAAAUGGGAGGUAAAUUUCUUCUAAAGCUAAAUACUGGCCAGAGACCGAUAGCGCACAAGUAGAGUGAUCGAAAGAUGAAAAGCACUUUGGAAAGAGAGUCAAAUAGCACGUGAAAUUGUUGAAAGGGAAGCGCUUGCAGCCAGACUUGCCUGUAGUUGCUUAUCCGGACUUUUGUCCGGUGCACUCUUCUGCGGGCAGGCCAGCAUCAGUUUGGGCGGUUGGAUAAAGGUCUCUGUCAUGUACCUCCUUUCGGGGAGGCCUUAUAGGGGAGACGACAUGCAACCAGCCUGGACUGAGGUCCGCGCAUCUGCUAGGAUGCUGGCGUAAUGGCUGUAAGCGGCCCGUCUUGAAACACGGACCAAGGAGUCUAACAUCUAUGCGAGUGUUUGGGUGUCAAGCCCAGACGCGUAAUGAAAGUGAACGGAGGUGGGAACCCUUUGGGUGCACCAUCGACCGAUCCUGAUGUCUUCGGAUGGAUUUGAGUAAGAGCAUGGCUGUUGGGACCCGAAAGAUGGUGAACUAUGCUUGAAUAGGGUGAAGUCAGAGGAAACUCUGGUGGAGGCUCGCAGCGGUUCUGACGUGCAAAUCGAUCGUCA
rnacentral:rRNA from 1 species